UACACACCGCCCGUCACACCAUGGGAGUCGAUUGCUCCAGAAGUGGGUGAGCCAACCGCAAGGAGGCAGCCCCCCAAGGAGUGGGUUUGGUAACUGGGGUG
rnacentral:rRNA from 1 species